rnacentral:rRNA from 1 species
CAAAGAACUUUGAAGAGAGAGUUCAAGAGAACGUGAAAUCGCGGAGUGGAACCGGAGAGAGUUGACGUAACUGGGUGGCUAAGUUCGUUGGGGUCGCUUAAUUGCGAUUUCAUAGAAUGGGUGCUGCUUAUGGUUGCGCUGGUGGCGCUGAUUGUGUUAGCUGACCCGUGUAAUGUUGCCCACUUCGGUGGUGUCUUGUUCGCGGUUAGGUUAAUCAUGGUUAGCGUUUAGCUUUGCUUGCAGAGUGCCAGUGUGAAAGUCGACCACCUUUCCGACCCGUCUUGAAACACGGACCGAGGAGUGUAACUUGUACGCGAGUCAAAGGGUUGUAAACCCCACGGCGCAAUGAAAGUAAAGGCCGGUUAACCGGUUGACAUAGGAUCCGUUCUUUGAGCGGCGCACUAUGGCCCUGUCUUGUCUGCUUGCAGAUGGGCAGAGGAAGAGCGUACAGGUUGCGACCCGAAAGAUGGUGAACUAUGCCUGAGCAGGACGAAGCCGAGGAAACUCUGGUGGAAGUCCGUAUCGGUUCUGACGUGCAAAUCGAUCGAUAGACUUGGGUAUAGGGGCGAAAGACUAAUCGAACCAUCU